CGGCGUGCUUAACACAUGCAAGUCGACGGAAAGGCCCAGCUUGGCUGGGUACUCGAGUGGCGAACGGGUGAGUAACACGUGGGUGAUCUGCCCUGCACUCUGGGAUAAGCCUGGGAAACUGGGUCUAAUACCGGAUAUGACCAACUGUCUCAUGGUGGUUGGUGGAAAGCUUUUGCGGUGUGGGAUGGGCCCGCGGCCUAUCAGCUUGUUGGUGGGGGUAAUGGGCCUACCAAGGCGACGACGGGUAGCCGACCUGAGAGGGUGAUCGGCCACACUGGGACUGAGACACGGCCCAGAUUCCUACGGGAGGCAGCAGUGGGGAAUAUUGCACAAUGGGCGCAAGCCUGAUGCAGCGACGCCGCGUGAGGGAUGACGGCCUUCGGGUUGUAAACCUCUUUCACCAGGGACGAAGCGUGAGUGACGGUACCUGGAGAAGAAGCACCGGCCAACUACGUG
rnacentral:rRNA from 1 species